AAGUCGUAACAAGGUUUCCGUAGGUGAACCUGCGGAAGGAUCAUUACAAAUCAUUGAGUAGGAGUGUUGUGCUGGCUGCGUGUGCUUGUCUGUGCGCGUGGCUGGCAUGAUGCAAAUAUUUGCACGAGACUGUUGUGCUGUGAGUUGGCUGGCUGGUUGAUUGGUGUGAGUGCGUGCGUGCGUGGGGUGCUGUGAGUGCGUGCAGUGCAGUGCAGUGCAGUGCAGUGCGCCGCUUGCCAGUGCUGGCUGGUGGUGCUUGUACACACGUGUGCACACACUACGAUUGCACAACAACACGCACACGCACACACACACACGCAAGCAGCGACAACACGCACAACACACAGUCUUGAUGUUUACGCUUGUUUGUUUGACAGAGUAAUAAUAUGACGCAAAAUACCAUGACAACUUUUAACAAUGGAUCUCUUGGCUCUU
rnacentral:misc_RNA from 1 species